CCCACAGCUGUGCAUUAACAACAUCUAAAACCACUUAAUACCCUCAUAAAUAAAACCACUUAGUACCUUCCUGUACUUAGGCUGAACAGUGAGCCCCUUCCCCCAUUUGUAAUUGUGAGAUCCCAUUAGUGACUUUGCUCUUGGAUCCAGCCCAGGAGAGGUGAACUAUGUUGUGCUGCUCUUUAUGCCCAGAUGUUUAUUUAGCAUUUAGUACAAAUUCUCACCCUGUCCUGCUGUGCUGUAAAUUUGUUGGGUGUCCAGAGCCUACAUGAUGUAAUUGCAGUGUCUCCUGAGCAGAGGGCCUGUGCCUGGACUUCCUUCUUGGUCAGGCUUUGCAUUUGCGCUGCUUUUUUAGUUUGAGUAGGGCUAGGUAUCAACCUUCCCUGUGUCUUGGUAGGAAAGUGACUCUUGGUGCUGAAAAUCUGCGUGCUGACAGGCGACCUGUGAAUGGGGAAAGGAUGGUUGUUCAAUGACAGCUGCAGAAAUAGCUCUUUGGAGUUGUCUGGUUUGCAGCCAUUAACCUUUGCAUCACGUAGGAAAGGCUCCAGUGCUAUUACUGAGAGAUCACAUCUCUUGCCCAGUGUUUGGAAAAGCCAGCAUCUAGUUUGUGUUCAGGUAAGGGUACUCCCUUUUCCUUUGCUCUGCAUCAUUGACCAGUGCAGGCUGUGUCAAAGAGCAGGACGGGGGCCACUUCAGCAGCUUCUGGCUUGUGGUGUUGAAGGGAAGAUAAAAGUAACAAGUGUGACUUUAAGGAGCCAUUUGCAUACAUUUUGAUAAUAAUCACUCUUCCAGUAGGCACCGUGUCCUAGCUCUGGCAUGAAUAAAAUCUCCUCCGCCAAUGGCACCUGCAAGCAGAAGGCUCCCAGAUCAAGUUUGGUUUGUAUUUGCAUCUCUCUUUAUAGGCUUUUUCCUAUAUAUUAGUGAAAAAUCUGAAGGCUGAGACUUGAGCGGGCUGUUGCAGCAUCUGAGCUCUGAAGUGGAGAAUUUCUGUGCUGCCAGACAGCUGCCUAAUUGUGUCUCACAUGGCAAAAACCUGAUAACCACUGGCAUGAAUCAGCACAUUUUAAAUCAAACAGUUCUGGUGGCUCCAAAUGUGAUGGAUUUGGGAGAACAACUUUUCUUUCUUGCUGUGUAAUAGACAUGUCAAAAUAGGGGGCAGUGGUAAUGGUCUGGUCUUGCAUAGACUAACCCAGGCCAUGGGGAGUAUUAAAUGGGAAAAAGAACACACAGACCCUUUGGAGCUUGGUCUCCAUGUUUUUGGACAUUGUGAGGUUGGCAGUAGAAGGUGUCUGUAGGAUCAAGUUAAAGUUCUGCAGAGCAUAAUGCUGAUAAUUAAUAUCUGUCUUGAAGAGCAGGUGAGAAAGCCAUCUUUGUUGUAAAAACACCCCGAGCUGCUCCUGUGUUUCUGAAAAUAAUUAUCUCAUGUGGUUGUAGCACUUGUGAUCUUGGGUUCUGUCUCCUUACACUGUUGUAAAAAUCCCUCUUGCCAUAUGGAAACUGCCAGAGUCUGUUCUCUGCUAGUCUUGGAUCAGGUAGGGAGGUGGUUUGAUGUCUGUGCUUCCCAUGGUGCUCAUGCUUUUUGCUCUCCUUCCUGCACUGGAAACAUCUCUGAUCAACUUUUAUUAAGUGGGAGGUGAGUUCAGGUGCUGGCUUUGUUGUAGUAUCCCCCGUCCUGCUUCCAAACCAGGAUUAAGCAAAGGAAAAUAUUUCUUUACUCUUAAUUUAAGUCUCUGGGAAGUUGGUUUUGCUUCAGAGCAGACUUGAAAAGGCUUGUCAGUUGGACCUUGGAGCCACCAGCAUUUUUUUUCUCCUCCACUUAACCGAAGCUGGUUUCAUUUGUGACAGCACUUUUAAUUUGUUAUGUUUGCAAAGGAAACAUUGGGGAAGGUUCAGAAAUGCAUAUUUAUGUUUCUUGGCUAAGCUGAAAUUGGCUCUAAGAACUUGGGUUUGGAAGUUUUAGAAAGAAAGGUUGGAUUUUUUUUUUAUAUAUUGCAUGUUUUUUGGUUUUUUUCUUCUUGUGCAAAAAGAGGUUAGAAUGGCUUACCUUGGUCUACACCUUCCCUUGGAUGUGAAACAUGUAACUAAAAGGUCCUAACUAGGAAUAUGAGCGUUUCUACGCUCACCCUGGAGGAAUGGAAGCAGUAUUGAAGAUGUGGUUGCACAGACAGAUGGGUGUUAUAUGAAGCAGUAGCAGUCUGUCAUAGGUGCAAACACUUCUGCAGCAACAGCAUUUUGCUCUCCCUCCACUUGUAGUAUGACUUGAGAGUGUCCUUUUGGUGAGCAGUCCUAGGGCUGUGAAUGCAGUGUGGAGACGAGAAGAUCUGAGAUUUGUUGUCAGGGUGGCACCAGUAAACUUCCUGCAGCUCAGUGAGAGAGAUAAUUCUGCAGGGUUCUGGCUCCAUUGUUGGGACUGGGUCUAAGGUGAAUUUAAGAAAAAUGUUCUGGUUGAACAGGCCUUCCUUUCUUGUUUUAUCCAAGGGGAAAUACCUGCUCAGAGCCUGAUCUGUUCUUCUCAUUAACUGAGACCUAUAUCCGUAACGAUUUGCAGGUCCUUAUCUGUGUGUCACAGAGUUUCCCAGGUUGAUAUCUCAGGUUUCAGGCUCUUAAAAUCUGCAGAUGCAGAAGUGUUUGAUCAUAAAGGGUCGAUGAGGUGAGGUCUCUCUGCAUCAUUUGGGGCAUCGUGGGAUAAUCAGCUGCCAAGGACCAGCCUUGCUCAGCUCACACAGGCUCGUGGGCUGCUCUUGGAAGGAUGGGGAAGUGCAGGAUUGUUUGACCAAGGCUAUAAUGCCUGAGGAGGGUGGAGAGGAGGCACUGGUGACCUGAAAGGCCUGUCAGGGAUGAGAUAACCUGCUUGGAGGGAGAGUGGAACAUCUUGCACCCCAGCAUGAUGAUUGCAAGAGUGGAGUCCCACCAUGUCUCCAGAGAGCUUUGUGUUGGAGCCAAACCACAGCGCGGCCUCGGGAGAGGGCCUCCUUUUGUGCAGUGGUAGCUGGGAAUGUUUUUCCUUUUGGACCUAGUUGGAAGUCUAUGGGGUUAUAUUUACCUCUGUGGGAUAUAUUUACCUCCUUACUUGCAGAAGCACUAAAGCAGGACCUGAAGUUCAAGUCUGCCUCCUGCAAGGAGCCUCCGUGCCAUUGUCUCCAUCUGAAGUCUGUUUCCAAUUUCUCCAGUACCUCGUGGUGCUUGAAACUCCCCCUUCCUUCCCCGCUCUUCCAAGGAAUUUUGCAAAGAAAUCAAUAGCUGUCUAGUUAUGACAGCAAAAUGAGUGAGAAAGGCUGUAACGUCUCCAUAGCUACCUAAAAAGUACUUGUGAAAUGCCUGUGGAAGAGAGUGCCCUGGAAUUAUCCCAUGCAUUCCUUGCAUGCAGACUGGAAAUCGUUUGCAUUAGUUAAGUAAUCUCUGCACGCCUGUCCGGUGAGCAAUGUUUGGUUACUGCAAUAAAUUUUGAUUCCUCAACCCCUGUGAAGCUGAAAAAAAAUGGAUUUGUUUUACAUAGAAAACUAACUGACCUGAACUCUCAGUGGAUGAGCUGGUUGUGAGCAGCCCAGCUUAAUCCAACUUGUUUUUCUCCUUGUAUUUCAUGUAGCAUCUGAAAAGAGACAGCUUGUGGCAAAUUAGCCAGGGUGAGACUACAAAAAGAUUGAAUUAUUCCUGUUUGAACAGCUCCCAGCAUGUGAGCACUUACUGCUUGGCUUGUACAUCAUCUGUAUCUUGAGCUGGCUUGUCAGAGCUGCCGUGGCUGAGGUGAAAGUAAAUAACCUCCAACUGGAAAUCUUGCCUUUGCUGUAAAUGAGAAUUUAUUCAUUCAUCAGUGAAAAUACCAUGAACAAAAAAGGUGGUUGCUGUGUGUUUGAGUUCCUUGCAACAGUGGCUCUCUGUGAAGAGAAGCUCUCUGCCAUCUGUGCUGUGUUGUGCUAAAAAGUCAUUUUGCUCCUGGUGGAACCUGGUGCUGGGGUGGAGAUGCAGUUGUCAGGACAUCUGCGAGGUGUGUCCAUGCCUUGUGCUGCUCCCCUCACUCUGGGCCGUGGCACUGGAAUAACAGGAGGCAGAGUUUGGCCUGCCUUGUUUGGGCAGGGCUGAGCUGGUUGUGGGAAGUGCAGAAGGAGCUGGAACAAGAAGCUGUUUCUGGAGGGAUUUGCCUUGAUACACUGAUGUAACUCAGCAUCUCUGUCAGAGGAAACUGCAGUUUUGAGAACCUCAAUAGUAAAGCUCUUGGAGAGUGUCCGCAGGAAGGACACAAAGGUGGUGAAUGAAGGGCCUGAAGGAGCCACAUGAGGAGCAGUUGAGGGCACUUGGUGUGUUCAGCUGGAGAAGGGAAGACUGAGGGGAGACUUCACAGCAUCUGCAGCUUCUUCAUGAGGGGAAGAGGAGGGGCAGGCACUGGUCUCUGCUCUGUGGUGACCAGUGGCAGGACCCGAGGGAACGGCUGGAGCUGUGUCAGGGAAGGUUUAGGUUGGAUCUCAGGAAAAGGUUCUUCCCCCAGAGUAUGGUUAAGCAUUGGAACAGGCUUCCCAGAAAGAUAGUGGAGGCACCAUCCCUGGAGGUGUUCAAGGAAUGACUGGAUGUGGCACUCAGUCCUCUGGGUGACAAGGUGGUGAUGAGUAAAAGCUGGACUUGAUGAUCUUGGAGUUCUUUUCCAACCUAAAUGACUCCAUGAUUUUUAUAUCUGGGCCACUUUUUUCCCCCAGGAGUAAAAACCAAAAUGACUAUCAUACCUGAGUGUGAAAAGAUCCCAAUGGGGGUAUGACUGGGCUGAGCCAGUCCCUGCUUCUGAAGCAUUUAUUCUGCAAAAUCUACCAGCAGACAGCAGUGCAUGGUCACAGGGGAAAGGUCUGCUCAGGUUCUGGAUAUAUGAUAAAAGUGCAUCUGUGACACUGUCUGAACAAAGCAGAAGAAUUCUUCCUUCAUGACAAUGGUGCAACAGGUGCCCAUGGGAUCUCUACCCAUGGAGAUUUCUAAAACCUGCCUGGAUAAAGCCCUGAGUGACUGGAUUUAACUGUGGAAUCAGUCCUGCUUUGAGCAGGAGUUGGACUAGACAUUUCCAUCACCUUUAUGAGCACUGGGCCAUUUUGCUAACAAAGACCUCUUGGAUCUAAAUGGCCUUUUCCUACAACAGCCUGGGUUUUUUUCUUCUGGAAGUGCUACUGGCGUGGUGACUCACAUCUGAGUAUUCAUAAAUAAAGUUAAAAUUCAAAAUGAAAACAAUAGAAAAUAAUUAAAGUACUAACAGAGCUAAAACUAUUAACACUAAAGAAGAUAGUUAGCAAAUGAAAAUACUGUGGCAGUGAGAGAAAAAGAUAGCUUUCCAAUAGGAAAGAAAGAAUUUAAGAAAAAUGUCUUGCAAAGGCUCAUCUAUUCCUUCUAAAAAUUAAAAUUCACCCUCCUUUUCAUUAUCUGCCCUAGCAGU